rnacentral:rRNA from 1 species
GAUCCUGGCUCAGGAUGAACGCUAGCUACAGGCUUAACACAUGCAAGUCGAGGGGAAACGACAUCGAAAGCUUGCUUUGAUGGGCGUCGACCGGCGCACGGGUGAGUAACGCGUAUCCAACCUGCCCACCACUUGGGGAUAACCUUGCGAAAGUAAGACUAAUACCCAAUGACGUCUCUAGAAGACAUCUGAAAGAGAUUAAAGAUUUAUCGGUGAUGGAUGGGGAUGCGUCUGAUUAGCUUGUUGGCGGGGUAACGGCCCACCAAGGCGACGAUCAGUAGGGGUUCUGAGAGGAAGGUCCCCCACAUUGGAACUGAGACACGGUCCAAACUCCUACGGGAGGCAGCAGUGAGGAAUAUUGGUCAAUGGGCGAGAGCCUGAACCAGCCAAGUAGCGUGCAGGAUGACGGCCCUAUGGGUUGUAAACUGCUUUUAUAGGGGAAUAAAGUGAGCCACGUGUGGUUUUUGCAUGUACCCUAUGAAUAAGGACCGGCUAAUUCCGUG